rnacentral:misc_RNA from 1 species
AAGUCGUAACAAGGUUUCCGUAGGUGAACCUGCGGAAGGAUCAUUACCAAAUCCAAAUUACCAACCCCAUGUGAACUAUUGUUAUAGUCUGUCUUUGGGAGAAAUUUCCUUUUUUUCCUUCAUCGGAAGAAAAUAGUUUCUCCCAAUAGAGUCCGGCAUGACUUUACUGUUGUGUCCAGAUUCGAAAAAAACCUUUAACCACUUGAUUUUUUCGUUGGAAUUUCUUUUAUUAAUUUUCAAUAAAAGACAACUUUUAACGGUGGAUCUCUUGGCUCGUG